CCAAUGUGCCAGGUCGAUAACUGUAAGGAAGAUCUAACUAGUGCAAAGGACUAUCACCGCCGUCAUAAAGUUUGUGAGGUUCAUAGCAAAUCCACUAAAGCUCUUGUCGGGAAGCAGAUGCAAAGGUUUUGUCAGCAGUGUAGCAGGUUUCAUCCACUUUCUGAGUUUGAUGAGGGGAAGAGAAGUUGUAGGCGUAGGCUUGCUGGGCACAACCGACGGAGGAGGAAAACCCAACCUGAGGAUGUUACCUCAAGGCUGCUACUCCCUGGAAACCGGGAUUCCUCAGGAAAUGCAAAUUUAGAUAUAGUUAACUUGUUAACUGCUUUGGCACGCACUCAAGGGGAGAAUGAGGGAAAAAUUAUCAAUAACGCACCAGUGCCAGAUAGGGACCAACUCAUUCAAAUUCUGAGUAAAAUAAAUUCAUUACCUUUGCCAAUGGAUCUAGCUGCUAAGCUUUCAAAUAUCAAAAGUCUAAAUAGGAAAAAUCCUGAACAACCAUUAUCCGAUCUCCAAAAUGGGUUGCUUGGAACUACAUCUUCACCAUCAACUAUGGACUUACUUGCUGUUCUUUCAGCAACUUUGACAGCAUCUGCACCAGAUGCUCUUGCAAUUCUAUCUCAAAGAAGCAGCCAGAGCAGUGACAGUGAGAAAUCUAAGUCGACUUGCCCUGAUCAAGCAACAGGUCACAAUCUGCAGAACAGACCUAUUGUAGAAUUCCCAUCUGUGGGUGGUGAGAGAAAUAGUAGCUGUUACCAAUCUCCUGUUAAAGAUUCAGACUACCGGCUUCAAGAAAGUUGUCCUAAUUUACCUUUACAGCUGUUUAGCUCAUCACCUGAGGAUAAUAGUCCACCAAAACUGGCAUCUUCUAGGAAGUAUUUCUCUUCUGGCAGUAGUAAUCCAAGUGAAGGUAGAUCUCCAUCAUCAUCUCCUCCACUUAUGCAGAGGUUGUUUCCAUUGCAAAGCACAGCAGAGACUGUGAAAUCUGAGAAGAUGUCAAUCAGUAGAGAGGUCAAUGCCAACGCUGAAGGUAGCAGAACUCAUGGAUGUGUUGUGCCUCUUGAGCUCUUUAGAGAUUCAAAUGGAGGAGCUGAUCAAAGUUCAUUUCAAACUUUUCCAUAUCAAGCUGGAUAUACAUCUUCCUCUGGGUCAGAUCAUUCACCUUCUAGUCAGAACUCUGAUGCUCAGGAUCGCAGUGGGCGAAUAAUUUUUAAACUCUUUGACAAAGAUCCGAGCCAUUUUCCAGGGAAACUUCGAGCACAGAUCUAUAAUUGGCUUUCUAACAGUCCAUCUGAAAUGGAGAGCUACAUAAGGCCUGGUUGUGUGGUUCUCUCAGUUUAUUUGUCUAUGUCAUCUGCAACUUGGGAUCAACUUGAAAGAAACCUGCUUCAGCAAGUCUAUUCUUUGGUUCAAGAUUCAGAAUCUGAUUUUUGGAGGAGUGGGAGAUUUUUAUUACAUACGAGCAGGCAAUUAGCAUCGCAUAAAGAUGGAAAUAUUCGUUUAUGCAAAUCCUGGAG
rnacentral:misc_RNA from 1 species